CUCUACCCUAAAUUACCUUUGCCUCAAUUACAAAAGAACAAAAUUACCAAAACAUCAAAUUCAACAAAUUUUUCAUACCAAAAUUUUCAAUAAAUUUCUCUUUCAUCCAUCCAAUUAUCAGACAACAAUCAUUUCAAUGGAGAAAAUGAAGGUUGCCGAAAUUCUUUAACCCAUCUACCAACGGGUUAAAAAAUGAAAGAUAGCCGGAAAUGAAGACCUUACAAAUUGACUAUGUAUUUAUAUUUAGAAGUAAAAUCUAUGUAUUUCUUUAUUUCCUCUAUGGCUUUUGGCAUGUUGGGAUUGUUCAGGUGGUUGUUUUGGGGUGUGUGUGUGGGGGGGUAGGUAGGGAUGGUAGUUUGUUUAGGAAGUCUUGUUGACGAUUUUUGUUAAUUGUGGUUAAAAUUUUGAACUUCAUAGCCAUAUGAAGUCUUCUGCUUUAAAUUUUGCUGAUUAAUAUUUUUUAGUGCGCUUAUUAUUGAGCUUGUGUUUGGAUAGGUAUGUUAGUU
rnacentral:lncRNA from 1 species